GCGGCCAUGGUUUAGUGGUAUAACGCGUCCUUGCCAAGGACGAGAUGGGAGUCCGAUUCUCCCUGGCCGCA
rnacentral:tRNA from 1 species